CAAGUGAAGUUCACAUUAUAACAAAUGAACGCAAAGGAGAUACAAUAAAACACACCCUUUAUCGAGAUCAUAAUAAUUUUGGUAAAAUAUAUUUAAUUAUCUAUCUCACUUUAUUUUCAAAUGCUUUUAUAUAUAUAUAUAUAUAUAUAUAUAUAUAUAUAUAUAUAUAUUGAUGCUUAUAUAUAUACAUAUUGUCAUACACGAGACAAGCAUAAAUUUGUAAUUUGAAACUUGUAAACCACGUGCAUUUAUUUUCUAUAUGUAUGACAAAAUAUCACACAUGGCUGCCAAGGCCACCUGGUGCGGGACCACGUGGUCCACCUGGUCCGCCACCGGUUGAACCAUGACCGCCCACUCCAGUUUUACUUUCUCCAAUAACCCUUGGGUUCUCUUUAUUUUCAUCUGCAACUGUCAUUAAAUAAGAAAUUGAUGGUUUGAAUAUUUAGUAUCUUUACAUCAAAACGUAAAUAUUAGUAUUAUUACUAGAAGUAGAAGAGAGAAGAGAGAGCCUUA
rnacentral:lncRNA from 1 species